rnacentral:lncRNA from 1 species
CUUGAGUACAAAGAGCCUGCCCUAAGGAUGUUGAGAGUGAUGAUUUAGGGUAUCUGACAGAUGAAAUUUCUGUAUCCCCUGAUGGUAGUUUGUAUUUCUGUGGGAUCAGUGGUGAUAUCCCCUUUAUCAUUUUCUAUUGCAUCUAUUUGAUGGGUACAUAUAUAUUUAGGAUAGUUAACUCUUCUUGUUGCAUUGAUCCCUUUAGCAUUAUGUAAUGGCCUUCUUUGUCUCUUUUGAUCUUUGUUGGUUUAAAGUUUGUUUUAUCAGAGACUCAAUCGCAACUGCUGCUUUUUUUUUUUUUUUUUUUUUUGCUUUCCAUUUGCUUGGUAAAUAUACCUCCAUCCCUUUAUUUUGAGCCUCUGUGUGUCUUUGCACAUGAGAUGGGUCUCCUGAAUACAGCACACCGAU